rnacentral:rRNA from 1 species
AUUGAACGCUGGCGGCAGGUCUAACACAUGCAAGUCGAGCGGAUGAAGGUAUCUUGCUCCUUGAUUCAGCGGCGGACGGGUGAGUAAUGCCUAGGAAUCUUCCUGCUCGUGGGGGAUAACGUCCGGAAACGGGCGCUAAUACCGCAUACGUCCUGAGGGCGAAAGCGGGGGCUCUUCGGACCUCACGCUAUCAGAUGAUCCUUGUUCGGUUUAGCUAGUUGGGGGGGUAAAGGCCUACGAAGGCGACGAUCCGUAACUGGUCUGAGAGGAUGAUCAGUCACACUGGAACUGAGACACGGUGCAGACUCCUACGGGUGGCAGCAGUGGGGAAUAUUGGACAAUGGGCGAAAGCCUGAUCCAGCCAUACCGCGUGUGUGAAGAAGGUCUUCGGAUUGUAAAGCACUUUAAGUUGGGAGGAAGGGCAGUAAGUUAAUACCUUGCUGUUUUGACGUUACCAACAGAGUGAGCACCGGCUAACUUCGUG